rnacentral:rRNA from 1 species
UGCCAGACUCCUACGGGAGGCAGCAGUGGGGAAUAUUGCACAAUGGGGGAAACCCUGAUGCAGCGACGCCGCGUGAGUGAAGAAGUAUUUCGGUAUGUAAAGCUCUAUCAGCAGGGAAGAUAAUGACGGUACCUGAGUAAGAAGCCCCGGCUAACUACGUGCCAGCAGCCGCGGUAAUACGUAGGGGGCAAGCGUUAUCCGGAAUCACUGGGUGUAAAGGGAGCGUAGACGGCUGUGCAAGCCUGAAGUGAAAGGCGGGGGCCCAACCCCUGGACUGCUUUGGGAACUGUACGGCUGGAGUGCAGGAGAGGUAAGUGGAAUUCCUAGUGUAGCGGUGAAAUGCGUAGAUAUUAGGAGGAACACCAGUGGCGAAGGCGGCUUACUGGACUGUAACUGACGUUGAGGCUCGAAAGCGUGGGGAGCAAACAGGAUUAGAUACCCCAGUA